rnacentral:rRNA from 1 species
GAUGAACGCUAGCUACAGGCUUAACACAUGCAAGUCGAGGGGUAACGAGAGGAAAGCUUGCUUUCCUUGUCGACGACCGGCGCACGGGUGAGUAACGCGUAUCCAACCUGCCCCCAACUAAGGAAUAACCUUGCGAAAGUAAGACUAAUACCUUAUAAUAUCCUCAGAUGUCAUCUGACGAGGAAUAAAGAUUUAUCGGUUGUGGAUGGGGAUGCGUCUGAUUAGCUUGUUGGCGGGGUAACGGCCCACCAAGGCAACGAUCAGUAGGGGUUCUGAGAGGAAGGUCCCCCACAUUGGAACUGAGACACGGUCCAAACUCCUACGGGGGGCAGCAGUGAGGAAUAUUGGUCAAUGGGCGAAAGCCUGAACCAGCCAAGUAGCGUGCAGGAUGACGGCCCUAUGGGUUGUAAACUGCUUUUAUACAGGAAUAAAGUUAGCCACGUGUGGUUAUUUGUAGGUACUGUAUGAAUAAGGACCGGCUAAUUCCGUGCCAGCCGCCGCGGUAA